CGGGAAAAGCUCAAAUUUAAAAUCUGGCAGUCUUUGGCUGUCCGAGUUGUAGUCUGGAGAAGCGUCUUCUGCGCUGGACCGUGUACAAGUCUCUUGGAACAGAGCGUCAUAGAGGGUGAGAAUCCCGUCUUUGACACGGACCGCCAGUGCUGUACGAUGCGCUCUCAAA
rnacentral:rRNA from 1 species